UUGCUUUGGCAGCACAUAUACUAAAAUCGGGAGGGUCCAGAGAAGAUGAGCAUGGCCUCUGUGUAAGGAUGACAUGCAAAUUCGUGAAACGUUCACAUUUUUU